rnacentral:rRNA from 1 species
CCCCUAGAUGUUCUGGGCCGCACGCGCGCUACACUGAACAGUUCAACAAGUCUUAACCUUGGCCGAAAGGUCUGGGUAAUCUCCAAAUUUCGUCGUGAUGGGGAUAGAUUAUUGCAAUUAUUAAUCUUCAACGAGGAAUGCCUAGUAAGCGCAAGUCAUCAGCUUGCGUUGAUUACGUCCCUGCCCUUUGUACACACCGCCCGUCGCUCCUACCGAUUGAAUGGUCCGGUGAAGCGUUCGGACCGUGGCCUUUGGACGGUUCGCCGUCUGUUGGCUGCGGGAAGUUCGUUAAACCUUAUCAUUUAGAGGAAGGAGAANUCGUAACA